AGAGUUUGAUCCUGGCUCAGGACGAACGCUGGCGGCGCGCCUAACACAUGCAAGUCGAACGGAGCUUAGAGAGCUUGCUUUUUAAGCUUAGUGGCGAACGGGUGAGUAACGCGUGAGUAACCUGCCCUGGAGUGGGGGACAACAGUUGGAAACGACUGCUAAUACCGCAUAAGCCCACGGUACCGCAUGGUACUGAGGGAAAAGGAUUUAUUCGCUUUAGGAUGGACUCGCGUCCAAUUAGCUAGUUGGUGAGGUAACGGCCCACCAAGGCGACGAUUGGUAGCCGGACUGAGAGGUUGAACGGCCACAUUGGGACUGAGACACGGCCCAGACUCCUACGGGAGGCAGCAGUGGGGGAUAUUGCACAAUGGGGGAAACCCUGAUGCAGCGACGCCGCGUGGAGGAAGAAGGUUUUCGGAUUGUAAACUCCUGUCUUAAGGGACGAAAAGAUGACGGUACCUUAGGAGGAAGCUCCGGCUAACUACGUGCCAGCAGCCGCGGUAAUACGUAGGGAGCGAGCGUUGUCCGGAAUUACUGGGUGUAAAGGGAGCGUAGGCGGGACAUCAAGUCAGAUGUGAAAACUAUGGGCUUAACCCAUAGACUGCAUUUGAAACUGUAGUUCUUGAGUGAAGUAGAGGUAAGCGGAAUUCCUGGUGUAGCGGUGAAAUGCGUAGAUAUCAGGAGGAACAUCAGUGGCGAAGGCGGCUUACUGGGCUUUUACUGACGCUGAGGCUCGAAAGCGUGGGGAGCAAACAGGAUUAGAUACCCUGGUAGUCCACGCUGUAAACGAUGAUUACUAGGUGUGGGGGGAUUGACCCCUUCCGUGCCGCAGUUAACACAAAUAAGUAAUCCACCUGGGGAGUACGGGCCGCAAGGCUGAAACUCAAAGGAAUUGACGGGGGCCCGCACAAGCAGUGGAGUAUGUGGUUUAAUUUGAAGCAACGCGAAGAACCUUACCAGGUCUUGACAUCCGAUGCAUAGCAUAGAGAUAUGUGAAAUCUUUCGGGACAUCGAGACAGGUGGUGCAUGGUUGUCGUCAGCUCGUGUCGUGAGAUGUUGGGUUAAGUCCCGCAACGAGCGCAACCCUUAUCAUUAGUUGCUACGCAAGAGCACUCUAAUGAGACUGCCGUUGACAAAACGGAGGAAGGUGGGGAUGACGUCAAAUCAUCAUGCCCCUUAUGACCUGGGCUACACACGUACUACAAUGGCAAUAAACAAAGAGAAGCGAGACCGCGAGGAGGAGCAAAUCUCAAAAAAUUGUCCCAGUUCAGAUUGCAGGCUGCAACUCGCCUGUAUGAAGUCGGAAUUGCUAGUAAUCGCAGAUCAGAAUGCUGCGGUGAAUACGUUCCCGGGCCUUGCACUCACCGCCCGUCA
rnacentral:rRNA from 1 species